rnacentral:ncRNA from 1 species
CGCCACUGUGGUGGAUUCGAGUUUUCUUUUCUGUUUUAUAGCCGUACUACCAUGGAAGUCUUUCGCAGAGAGAUAUGGUAGAUGGGCUAGAAGAGCAUGACAUAUACUGUUGUGUCGAUAUUUUCUCCUCGGACCUUGAAAAUUUAUGGUGGGGACACGCAAACUUCUCAACAGGCCGUACCAAUAUCCGCAGCUGGUCUCCAAGGUGAAGAGUCUCUAGUCGAUAGAAUAAUGUAGGUAAGGGAAGUCGGCAAAUUAGAUCCGUAACUUCGGGAUAAGGAUUGGCUCUGAAGAUUGAGAUAGUCGGGCUUGAUUGGGAAACAAUAACAUGGUUUAUGUGCUCGUUCUGGGUAAAUAGAGUUUCUAGCAUUUAUGUUAGUUACUUGUUCCCCGGAUAGUUUAGUUACGUAGCCAAUUGUGGAACUUUCUUGCUAAAAUUUUUAAGAAUACUAUUUGGGUUAAACCAAUUAGUUCUUAUCAAUUAUAACGAUUAUCAAUUAACAAUCAAUUCAGAACUGGCACGGACUUGGGGAAUCCGACUGUCUAAUUAAAACAAAGCAUUGUGAUGGCCCUAGCGGGUGUUGACACAAUGUGAUUUCUGCCCAGUGCUCUGAAUGUCAAAGUGAAGAAAUUCAAGUAAGCGCGGGUCAACGGCGGGAGUAACUAUGACUCUCUUAAGGUAGCCAAAUGCCUCGUCAUCUAAUUAGUGACGCGCAUGAAUGGAUUAACGACGGACGUGUUUUCGUUGCGCUCGUGUACAGAUUGCGAAGAACUUUGUUUUCCGU